rnacentral:misc_RNA from 1 species
UGGCUCUGGCAUCGAUGAAGAACGCAGCGAAAUGCGAUAAGUAAUGUGAAUUGCAGAAUUCAGUGAAUCAUCGAAUCUUUGAACGCACAUUGCGCCCCCGGGCAUUCCCGGGGGCAUGCCUGUUCGAGCGUCAUUUCACCCCUCAAGCGCCCGCGCUUGGUCUUGGGUCACGCCGGAAACGGCCGGCCUUAAAAGCAGUGGCGGCGUCGUCGGGCUCUGCGCGUGGUAACCUCUCUCGCGUCUGGGCUUCGGCGGUCGCUGGCCAGCAACCCCCCAAUUUUUCAUGGUUGACCUCGGAUCAGGUAGGGAUACCCGCUGA